ensembl:lncRNA
ACUCCUCCCUGACACAGCACCUUCUGCUGUGAGGCUCAACUCUGCUUCCCUCCUCGGAAUCCCCUGGAUCACUCAACCUCAGGCUGUUGCUGUUUGCCUGGGCUCACUGGUUGAUGUCCCAUUGGCAGAAUUGAGACCUGAACCCAGGACUCCUGCUGCCUAUUCCAGGGGCCCUGCCAGUGCCUCCUGCAAGGAAAUGGCCACCAUGACCUCUCCACGGCCUUAGGCUCUAAGGCUGCAGACUCCUCAGCAACUCUGAGGCACAAGCCUCUCCAAUUGCCUGAGGAUUUUAAACUAAGCCCUCUGGCUUUCACCAGGCUGCUGCUGGGAUCCUUGAAAACCUAGGGAUAAGAGAGGCCUAGUAGAGAUAAGAGAUUCUUGCUUCUCCUCCCAUCUGCCUGCUGCCCAGAUGAGGGCCAUGCUGAUGCAACGCUGAAGUCCCAGGUGUGGAGCCACGGGGGCGAUGCAAGAGCAGUGGAGCUGCUAAUUACCCACAGAAAUCCCGCAUUGUUUAGAGCAAUUGUUCUCGCCCUCAUAACUCCCUGGAAUCACCUGUGGAACUUUGCAAAAUAUUGUUAUGUGAGCCCACCCCAGAGACUGUGAAUGUCUGCAAGCCUAGGCAUCAGGCUGUUAAGUCUCAGUAGGUGGUGCCAACAUGGAGCCAAGGCUGGGAAGCAAUGCCUAGAGGUAUCCCUUAUCCGGGGACUCGCCUUGUUUUCCAGCUGGAGUGCUAAGCACUGAAUCCCCAUUUUCCAGAUGGAGUAAAUGAGACUGAAGCAUCAGGCAAUAUGCUCCAGAGCACACAGUGUCUUCCUUAAAAGCCACAGAAACCAACUUUGCAUAACUUACACAGAAGGGGAAAUUAAUGCCGAGGGCUUAGUUAUGAGCGACACAGAAUGAGAGUAUAGGGUUCACAGCUAGAGCUCCCAAAAGACAAGAGCCAGGAGUGGAUGGGUGAUCAACUCAGACCAUCACCACUGGAAGGAUGCCCCUCAUCUCUGUGAGCAAUCUCAAGAUCCAGAUUGCUUCCAGGGGGCUGGGCUUGCUGAGCUUGUGUCCCUGUAGAACUGAGAUGAGGGAGAGGCUGACCCCACAUUUGCAUGCCUUGAGAGUGAGGGCUUAGUAAAGAAUCUGCCUGCAAUGCAGGAGACCCGGGUUCUGUCCCUGGGCCAGGAGGAUUCCCUGGAGAUGGAAAUGGCAACCCACUCCAGUAUCCUUGCCUGGAGAAUUCCAUGGACAGAGGAGCCUGGAGGGCUACAGUCCAUGGGGUCACCAAGAGUCAGAAUGACUGAACAACUAACACAACAGUAGACAGUGAGUGCAUCCUUAAAAUUUUCACCCUGGGACCCUUCGCUACCUGACUCCCCUCAUUCUAGUGCUGAGCCUACACCUUGGCCCAGGGCUGAGGAUGGCCAGAGUGACAGCCCACUAAGACUGCAUC